UUCAUUAUAAUCAUAUUUUUUUGUCAUUUAAAGACCACACUCCCUAGAACAGCUCUCUAUCAUCUGUGGAAGCCUCAUCUACCCAAUCACUCUGUUUCACCCCAAAUUUCAUCGUCAACCACCUCCAGCAGCCCAGGACUUGACACACAUUGGGAUGACAACUUUGUGGGGUGUGGUAGCGCAGUGGUUAAGGUGUUGGGCUACUGGUCGGAAGGUCAUGGGUUCGAACCCCAGGUCCACCAAGCUGCCACUGCUGGGCCCCUGAGCAAGGCCCUUAACCCUCAGUUGCUCAGUUGUAAGUCAAUCUGGAUAAGGGUGUCUGCUAAAUGCGUAAAUGUAAAUGUAACUUUGAAAUUCCAUGCAGUAUCACUUCCUGAGGAAGUGAUACAUUCUUUGGAAAUGGUCCGGAAUGUUGUGACUAAGAUGAUGCCCUUAAAAGGCAUUCAACUGAUGUUGCAACAGAAAUGGUGCCAAAAUAUCCCAAUACUCUCAAUCACAGCAUGUGCAUUGGUGAAAUUGCACAGCAUCAACAAUGGUGAAAUUACACAGCAUCAACAUGUCAACCAGGAAAAAGUAUCAAAUGCCUUACAGAGGACUGGCUGUUUUGGUCUGAUGAACUUGGCAUGUCAGUCCACUUCAAGGAACUCACUGGGAUUGAUCUCAAAGAGACAUUCACACGAAAUUUGGAUUUGAAGGGAAAAAGGCUUCACGACUACAUGAUCACAGUUUGUGUCAACAAGAGCAUGAAGUUCCUUCAGAAUUAUGCAAGGCUUCAUACGAUGUGGGGACUGUAGAGAGGCUGCUCAGAUGAUGUGAUAGAGAUGCUCCUGCUUCAGCUCAGCUACUUUGAUGAGGAGGAGGAGUCCAUGUUCUUCCAUGUAGAAGAUAGAUGUCUGGCAGAAGAUGUCCAACUGGUACAUGCUGAUGUUGGUACACGCUGAGUCUGUAUCAGAACCUAAUCAACACAAACAUCUCCUCAUUCAUUUCUGCAUUGUGCCUCAUGUUUGGGAGCUUCUACAGUUUUAAUAUCCAUUAUCCAUCUUAGCUGGCUUCAACUCUGGAGUUUCUUCAAAGGUGUUUUUUCUCAAUAAACCCAGAAAAGGGAACCAAAGUACAGAAUAAAAACUCCAAGCUUCCUCUCAACUUGAACCCUCGAGUCCUCACCCUGAUACAGAAACUCUCAGAUCACGAGUGGCGUGAAGCCUAAAUAUGGACUCUUUCUGUUGACUCUGACUGUUCGUUUGAGAAGAGAUACUGUUUUUACUUUGUUAAAUCCACAGUGUGUAUUAUGGUUAAGGUACUAUGUCAUUUGUUUUAAACUCGUAAAGGUGCACUGUAACUCUUUCUGGUAGACGGUCUAUAUGUAUCUUUAUUCAAUUAGAACUGUUUUAAUACAAAACAAUACCUUAACAAACCUGCAUCCUUACCGUAAGGGGGCUCGCCUCUCCACAGAUCUGACCUCUAACUUGGCCUAUUGGCAUCACCUGAUUGUCUCUAUGGAGAUUCGAUAAGUCUUACUGUGUGCCAUACUGUGGAACAUUCCAGACAGGGACAGUGUGGGUUGUUGUUGUGAAUUGGGUUUGUGGCAGAAAAAUGUCCAGAUUUAAAGAGGCUAAUCUUCUGGAGUAUUUCAACUUGGUCUCAGUCAUAGUUAAAAAAAAAAAAAUUACAUGUAGCUUCUUUGCAUCUUGUAUACAUUGAAAAAAAAAUGGGCCAAUUGUUUUAAGCCAUACUGUGUUGUUGUUGUUGUUGUUUUUGUUGUUGUGUGCCUGGCACUUAAACUUUGUUAAAAAUAACUUUUCAAACUUAGUUUGAGGGGAAAAAAUGCAUCCAGUUGUUUACAACUAUUUUGAUGGCUUUUAAAUAAAUUUUGCAAAAGUAA